GCUUAUUCCCCACCAACGUCCGUCACAAGGGUUGUUUCCAGACCAUGAUUCAACAAGCCUAGAAGGAUAAUUCACCCCAUCAAGAAACUCUAAAAGUGCCAUAACCUCAGGGGCACAUACUGCUCCUUGUUUGGUUUGACAAAAAGAGUUGGACAUAAAACUAACAUUAGUAGCCUUGAACUUAGGAACUGGUCCCAUAAAAUGAUUA
rnacentral:misc_RNA from 1 species